rnacentral:piRNA from 2 species
UACUUGUCAAAGAAUUUGUUGACUUGGUCCA